rnacentral:lncRNA from 1 species
GGGGCGGCCGCACGCAGGCCCCAGGGACGCGGUGACCUACCCCUUCCCCCCACCCCUUGUCGCGAGUAAGAGAAGCGGGACGAGUCAACCGAGGCCACACUCUCACCUAAAGACUACGACCCGACUCCGUGCCGCGGCUCCCGCCCGCCGCCCGGCUGCGCUUUAACCGCCGCCGCCGCCGCCCCCCGCGCUCUCAUUGGGGCGCCGCCGCCGCCCGCGCGCCCCCGCCGCGCACUUCCGCCCUCGUCGACGCGCCGCUCCUGCCGGGGCCGGCUCCCCGCGAGCGCGCCCCCGUCUCGCCGUCACGUGGCGGACUGGGACCAAUCGGCGAGGGAGAUAGCGGCGGUGGGCGGGGCUAGGCGCGCGGCGGGGCUAGGCGCCAAGCGACCGUUGGUGCUGAGGUGGGGGUGGUCCGUGUGGCGUUGGCCGUGGAGCCGUGAAUGAGGAUUCCAGUUCUCUCCUGGCGCUUGGAGAGGGCUGCUGGUAUAUUUACUGCUGUUCUUCCUUCGAAGCUUCUGUCAGUGCACAAAUCCACGUUCUGUCUGCUCAGCUCUAACGUUACCGAGCAAUCACACGGGCAGACCUAGAAGCGCUGUCAGUCACGAAUGAAAAAACGCACCCUUUUCUGCUUGUCUUUGAUUCAGCCUGCGACAGAGGAGCAAGACAGAAUGACCUCCCACCUCUUGUCUACUAAUGGCAGGCUGAAAUUGUGCUUGGAAUAGCUUUCUCCUGUCUCAAAGGAAGCCGAGUUCCGACAUUGCUGGAGGAAGUCACCACACUACCGUUCACUACAAGAUCACCUCGCAGCUUCAGGUGCAGCUGAGAUUUUGUCAGGAUCAAAGCACAAGGUCAUUUCUAAGGAGAUUCUUACUGAAAUUUUGUGAGACUAUCUCAGAAUGGUGCCUAUUCCCACCAGCGAAGGAGCUUUGCUAUCAGCUCCAAGGUCAGCAACUCCCUUCACCACUGUGCCUCCUCCACUGAAGGAAAAC